UACGUAGGGUGCAAGCGUUGUCCGGAAUUAUUGGGCGUAAAGAGCUCGUAGGCGGUUUGUCGCGUCUGCCGUGAAAGUCCGGGGCUCAACUCCGGAUCUGCGGUGGGUACGGGCAGACUAGAGUGAUGUAGGGGAGACUGGAAUUCCUGGUGUAGCGGUGAAAUGCGCAGAUAUCAGGAGGAACACCCGUGGCUAAGGCGGCUCUCUAGUACGGUACUGACGCUGAGACGCGAAAGCGUGGGGAGCGAACAGG
rnacentral:rRNA from 1 species